CUCAACAUUUUUUUAAAGAUAGAAUCGGCACGAGAGAGUUCCGCAUGGCUUGUCCUGCUCUCUUCAUUAAUCUGACACCGUCUCCCUCCCCAUCGCCCCCUCACGAUUGAUGCUCUACUUAAUUUACAUCCGGCCCUCCUUUUCACUACCAUAAACCCGGUCCAAGGAGCGGGUUGGUCUCCGCCGAGCGAGAGAAAGAAGCGAGUCGUGAUCGCGCACUGGAACUAAUUAAUGAGCCAGGGUUCCGUUUAUGUUAAGCAAUGUUUGAGAGAAGAGAAGGACAGGAACUUAAUUACAUGGAGCUGGAGACGAGAAUAGCAGCCAACGAUUUGGUUGCAAAAGGGGGCUAGGCCGUUUGAAGGGCUUGGGGUUCUUUAUAGGCUUGAGCUAGCUCAUGCUCGUAGUGCUGCCUGCCUAGCUGUCACUGUGUGGACAUUAAACCCUGUGUCACAUUGUUUCUUAAGAUUUGUGAGCCGUGUAUUUCUCAUGGGUGAUGUGUCCAAUGGGCUGUAGCGUUGGAGAUUAUUUUACUCUUGGUAAGGAAAGCGAACACUCUGGGUUCUGCUGAAUAACCAAGCAUUGUUUAAUAAUGGCUGACAAUUGGGAAUCAUUGGUACCUUGGUGUUAGGAGGUUCAUCGUCUGAAGGGAAACAAGUCGGUAUGAAAUGCCAUGCUGUGCCACAUGUUGGCCAUUUUCGUUAAGGCAAUCAAUCAGUCGCGGUGUGCCUACAUACACGUGCAAUGUUAUUAGAUACAUGUGAUCAUUGAGUGUCCAGAGCGUGCCUGUGUGUUUGGAAUGUUUCCUAACCUUAGGGAAAGGGGGUGUCAGGAAGGGAGCCUGAGGUUAGCUGGGGGAGCCCACAAGAAUAUGUAGCUGCCAUAAAACAAAGCUGGGUUUCCAAAUACCUUGCUGAUGGAUUUAUAAACUUCAGACUGAAGAAAAGAGAGCACUGUUUAUUUAAGAUGCUUAGAUCUGAUUCUUUUUUAAGGCUGACCACAAUUUAUAGUAGAACAAAAAGAAAAGGCUACGGAAAGCCUCAGUGUGGUAUGUUAAAAAGACAAACCUGAAACAGAAGAGAGGCAGGGGGAAAGAUUGCCUUUCCAUGCAUCUCGGGAUUUUCUCUGCCUCCUUCCAUCCCUCCCACACAUGUGCUGUGAGGCCCUGGUCCUCUGGAGACCCGUAGGGUGCAAAGGACACUGGGAAUUUAACAGCGCUCUCCACACCUCGCUGAAACAAGACACAUGGGUCUGUGGUCUGCAUGUGCCUAGUACCAGAGAACGGGUUUCAGCGCUCACCAGGCCCUCACCUGUUUUGCUGCCUGGAGCUACAGAAAAACCUCAGAACAGCCAACCUCAAUACGCCACUGUGACAGACAGACGCAAAGGGAAGAAUGGUCAGAAGGGUGACGACAGCUUGGUUUUGUGUGGAAGAUGGGGCUGGGCGUGUAGGAGUGGGGAAAGACACAGCACCACAGUAUUCCUAUGGGGUUGGGCAGGGUGGUCAGCCAACCCUGUUCCUCAGAACUCGAAAAUGCCUUAUCCCUGCUGGGGCGGACCGCCAAAGCCGCAGCUGUUAUAGAGGAAACCCUGACCAUGAGUGACGCAGCUCAACCCAAACAUCCACAGCGACACCACGACACCAUAGACCCAUGAAAAUGCAGCACAACCAUUACGCUAUUGUGGCAUUUCCAGCCUAAAAAUGAAUCUUAAUCACCUGUUGCCUAAAAUCCACUUCACUGAAUCAGGACACAAUGAUCAAGCAAAUAAGUCUCUCAUCCACUCAUCUCUGUCAUCACAGACCGACAUGAAUCAUCCCUUGUUGGAUUUUGUUUAGUUUUUUUAAGACACCGUUUUGGGAAUUUGUAUGCUUUUUUGAGAAGAUGUGGGGAAAUAGCAGGGAAUCUUUGCUGAAAGAGCAGCGUGUCAGCUGUUAACCUAUGACGCUGCAGUAGCAGAUGUCCACCGGAGGCAGCAUCUCAGGCCACUGUACUACACCUGACCACUGUACUACACCUGACCAAUGUACUACUCCAGGCCACUGUACUACCCCAAGCCACUGUACUACCCCAAGCCACUGUACUACCCCAGGCCACUGUACUAACUCAGGCCACUGUACUAGACCAGGCCUCUGUACCACCCCAGGCCACUGUACCACCGCAGGCCUCUGUACCACCCCAGGCCACUGUACCACCCCAGGCCACUGUACCAUCCCAGGCCACUGUACCAUCCCAGGCCACUGUACCAUCCCAGGCCACUGUACCCCAGGCCACUGUACUACCCCAGGCCUCUGUACCACCCCAGGCCACAAAUGGAAGACUUUCCCUGCCUCUCAGCCGCAUACUGUUUUAUCUGAGAGAGAUUCCCUGUUUCUGGUAAGAAGCUAUUCUGGUCUAGUUGGUUAUAAAUAAGAUCUCUGUCUUAUCCUCUCUCAAUCAAUUUAAUUUUAAUUUACAAUGACACAUAUUUUAUAAGCUCCUGUACAUACUAAGUUUUAACAAUGGCAAGGGAAAAUACAUAUGAUCUAUGGGAAAUAGUGUUUGUGUCUCUAAUGUGGUUAUUCAUUUGGGAGGAUAUUAGGAAAUGCAGGUGGUUUCUCACCUUUUUGUGGGCCAUGUGAACAAGCCCCAGAUCGACCCUUGCCGUGUUUAUUCAGGUUUGAUGAUCAGUUUGCUACAACACAGAAUUCUGCCACAAUAAAUCCUUGAAGCAGUGCCCAGGAUGCCGCUACACCCCUAGUGGGAGCAGAAAGGGAAAAAGCCAGAAGGCUAGAGUCCUGUGGGACAUGGACGUGUUGUGGAAGCCGCAUUGGAGUGACAUUUUCAUCUAAAAUUGUAACCAGGAGUAAUUAUUUUUAUUUAGGAGGGGGUUUAGGAUCCAUGUACACUAAGGUUCCAGAGGAGUAUGUCCAGUGGUUCUCCACCAAUUCCCACAGGACACGCUGAGAAUGCUGGGAAGUAAUUGAUGAGAAUGACUGGCCCUCCUCAAGCAGUUGGUCCACAGCAGGGCUCUGUGAGGGGAGAAUCCAAAGCCUCAACCAGGCUUCACACAAACUGAAAUUGACACGGAGCAUGACCUACUGUACGCCAAAACCCCCAAACUCUUGUGAGCAGUCGGUGAAACAGUGAUGGUACAAGCCACAUGAUAUGGAAUAGCAAAGUUUCCAGAAUGCAAAACCAGCAUGAAAGACUUCAUCCAUGAUUUGAUUUGUUUCUGGCUGUUAAUAACUCAAAACAGAGUGGUUCCUACAAAUGUUCUAACUUGUUAACAGUUAAAGUUAGAAAAUAUGACCCCAUUCCCGAUAUAUAAGAUUCUCAGAAACAUGUAUCUGUUUGCUUCAGAACCAUUUAUAACAGAGUGGUCAAUGAUUAUGAAGUCAUUUUACCAAACUAUUGCCUGAUCUUCCUUCAUACAUUUCAAAUCUUUCUUCCUUAAGUUGUUGAAUGAAUAACAAUUCUGAACAAUAAAAACACUGACAUUUUGAUAUUGGUGCACAUAGCUGUAACGUCUGCUCCACGUGGCACCGCGGCUCCCCUUCCUCGCCGGCGCUCCACCCUCGCCGGUGUAUUUACCACCGGCAGGAGUGUGAUGGCAGCAGUGCAUCCCCAGGACGCACCUGUUUCCAAUCACUGUUCGGUUGUGUAUAUAUUCUGUUGUUCUUACGGAUUAUGAUUUGUCUGACGUGGCCGUGUUGGUGCGUCUUGUUUUACCUUUACAAAAAAAAGACUAAAGAAAGACUCAUUGAU